rnacentral:lncRNA from 1 species
UCAUAUGGAUGAAAGCUAAUAAAAUUUUUUAGAUGUUUGUGAAACAUAACUUUACCUUCCAUAGCUAGGUACCCAGUGCAAUCCUGAGCAAAACAACAUGUAAUACGACAACAUAUGUUAUGUCCCAAAGAGUGACCAUAGGUAUGAAAUUGACACCUUAACUUUGAGCGCCUAUAACUCCUUCAAAAAAACUCAAAAUUACACAAAAUUUGUACCUAAAUCUUAUCCAAAAACCUAAACUUGAUGAUCCUAGCCUCCAAGGCUCGAAUGACUUCAAAAGAGAAAUCUUAAUCUCAAAUAAGGCCUUAGACAACCUCCUUGAAGUCCAUUGGAUAUGAGAUUCGACUAAUAGGGAUAAAGAUCUUCAUCCCUUGCCUUCAUCCAACCAUACCUUACUUUCAUCCUUUUCAAUAAGCCUUCUAGUAAUUUAGACUUUCAUCUUUAGAUUCCAACCUCCUCUUAAGCUUUAUACUAAAUCCUACAUAAUAUAAACACUAUAAUCAAAAUAGAUAAACAUCCAAAUAAAUUUUUUUAUAUCAAUUCUUUUUGAAUUUAUUUGUUAACCACUCUAAUCCACAUCAAGACUUAUAAAUAUAAUAUAUGUUUUAAUUAAUUUUUAAUACUAUAAGCAACAUUAUCUUUUCUCAAAAUAUACUUAAAUUUUAGAAUCAUAGAUUUAAUAUAUAUUAUCUAUGUUAAUAUUAUAAUAUCUAGCGUUGAACAACUAGCAAUCAUACCUAAUAGUGAUAGACAAUUCGUUUCAACAAUCACAAUUACACUAAUUAAAUAUUCUUUUUUAUUUUUUAUUAUGGUUACUAUGUCCUAUAACUCUCUCUUAAUCUAUGCAUAAGCUCUUUGAUGAGGAUUUAAAAUCUUUACUCCAAAA